rnacentral:rRNA from 1 species
UACGUAGGGUGCAAGCGUUAAUCGGAAUUACUGGGCGUAAAGCGUGCGCAGGCGGUGAUGUAAGACAGAUGUGAAAUCCCCGGGCUCAACCUGGGAACUGCAUUUGUGACUGCAUCGCUGGAGUGCGGCAGAGGGGGAUGGAAUUCCGCGUGUAGCAGUGAAAUGCGUAGAUAUCGGGAGGAACACCAGUGGCGAAGGCGAUUGCCUGGAGCUUUGCUGACGCUGAUGCGCGAAAGCGUGGGGAGCGAUCCGG